UACGGGGGGGGCAAGCGUUGUUCGGAAUUACUGGGCGUAAAGGGCUCGUAGGCGGCCAACUAAGUCGGAUGUGAAAUCCCCAAGCUUAGCUUGGGAACUGCAUCCGAUACUGGAUGGCUUGAAUCCGGGAGAGGGAUGCAGAAUUCCAGGUGUAGCGGUGAAAUGCGUAGAUAUCUGGAGGAAUACCGGUGGCGAAGGCGGCAUCCUGGACCGGCAUUGACGCUGAGGAGCGAAGGCUAGGGGAGCAAACGGG
rnacentral:rRNA from 1 species